GCAGACACAUUCCAGCCAAUCAGCAGCAGACCCUCCCUCCCAGACCCUCCCACCUGGACAGCUCACUAAGAAUGCAGCUUCACAAUGAAUGUAAAAUGGAUGCUGUCCAGGAGGUGGGAGGGUCUGGGAGGGAGGGUCUGCUGCUGAUUGGCUGGAAUGUGUCUG